AGAGUUUGAUCAUGGCUCAGAAUCAACGCUGGCGGCGUGCCUAACACAUGCAAGUCGCACGAGAAAGGGGCUUCGGCCCUGAGUAGAGUGGCGGACGGGUGAGUAACACGUGGGUGAUCUGCCCUCCAGAGGGGGGAUAACCCGCCGAAAGGCGGGCUAAUACCGCAUGGAGUUGCAGUUGUCGUGACUGCAAUGAAAGCAGCAAUGCGCUGGAGGUGGAGCCCGCGCCGGAUUAGCUAGUUGGUAGGGUAAUGGCCUACCAAGGCUACGAUCCGUAGCCGGCCUGAGAGGGCGACCGGCCACACUGGAACUGAGACACGGUCCAGACUCCUACGGGAGGCAGCAGUGGGGAAUUUUGCGCAAUGGGGGAAACCCUGACGCAGCAACGCCGCGUGGACGAUGAAGGCCUUUGGGUCGUAAAGUCCUGUCAGCAGGGAAAAACACAAUGAUGGUACCUGCAGAGGAAGCUCCGGCUAACUUCGUGCCAGCAGCCGCGGUGAUACGAGGGGAGCAAGCGUUGUUCGGAAUCAUUGGGCGUAAAGGGCGCGUAGGCGGCCAGACAAGUCUGGGGUGAAAUCCCUCGGCUCAACCGAGGAAUGGCCUUGGAAACUGUACGGCUGGAGUACUGGAGAGGAAAGCGGAAUUCCCAGUGUAGCGGUGAAAUGCGUAGAUAUUGGGAGGAACACCGGUGGCGAAGGCGGCUUUCUGGACAGUCACUGACGCUGAAGCGCGAGAGCUAGGGGAGCAAACGGGAUUAGAUACCCCAGUAGUCC
rnacentral:rRNA from 1 species